AAGAAACUGCAUUUUGCCAUAGUGGUAUGUGCUAUUUCUCCUGCUGGACAGACAUCCUGUUGAGGUUUGCCAAGCCAAGGCUCCAGAACUGGCUGCAAAAGACAGUUUACUUGCCCUCCCAGAUACAGCAAAAGGACAAAAAUGGCCUAAAACUGCUUGGACCCAGGGGAAAAGCAAGUGUGUGGAAUUGCAGGGACUCUAUCAAAGGCCAGCUGUAACAAGGAGCAGGAAGACUGGUUCAGUUAUCUUCAUUUUCAAACACAGCACAGCGACAGAGAGCAGGAAUAACCUUGGAAGAUUGGUAAUGCUCAAGUACCCAAAGGCAAUUGACCAAGAGCUGAGAAUUUCCACACAAAAAGAAGUCACAGCAUUGGGGCUGCCCACGAAUACGAUCAGCACACAUGAGCGAAUGGUUUAGGCUAUAUUGAGGAAUAAAUGAACAUGAUUAAAUAAUGACAGCAAUACCUUGCAC